GAUGAACGCUAGCUACAGGCUUAACACAUGCAAGUCGAGGGGCAGCAUGAACUUAGCUUGCUAAGUUUGAUGGCGACCGGCGCACGGGUGAGUAACACGUAUCCAACCUUCCGUUUACUCAGGGAUAGCCUUUCGAAAGAAAGAUUAAUACCUGAUAGUAUGGUGAGAUUGCAUGAUAGCACCAUUAAAGAUUUAUUGGUAAACGAUGGGGAUGCGUUCCAUUAGGUAGUAGGCGGGGUAACGGCCCACCUAGCCGACGAUGGAUAGGGGUUCUGAGAGGAAGGCCCCCCACAUUGGAACUGAGACACGGUCCAAACUCCUACGGGAGGCAGCAGUGAGGAAUAUUGGUCAAUGGACGAGAGUCUGAACCAGCCAAGUAGCGUGCAGGAUGACGGCCCUAUGGGUUGUAAACUGCUUUUAUAAGGGAAUAAAGUGAGUCUCGUGAGACUUUUUGCAUGUACCUUAUGAAUAAGGACCGGCUAAUUCCGUGCCAGCAGCCGACGG
rnacentral:rRNA from 1 species